UACGGGGGGGGCAAGCGUUGUUCGGAAUUACUGGGCGUAAAGCGUGCGCAGGCGGUUCUGAAUGUCAGCUGUGAAAGCCCCGGGCUUAACCUGGGAAUUGCGGUUGAAACUACAGGGCUAGAAUCUGGCAGAGGGGGGUGGAAUUCCACGUGUAGCAGUGAAAUGCGUAGAGAUGUGGAGGAACACCGAUGGCGAAGGCAGCCCCCUGGGCUGAGAUUGACGCUCAGGCACGAAAGCGUGGGGAGCAAACAGG
rnacentral:rRNA from 1 species